UACAGAGGGUGCGAGCGUUAAUCGGAAUUACUGGGCGUAAAGCGUGCGUAGACGGUCAAGUAAGUCGGGUGUGAAAGCCCCGGGCUCAACCUGGGAAUUGCAUUCGAGACUGCGUGGCUAGGGUGCGGAAGAGGGAAGCGGGAAUUUCCGGUGUAGCGGUGAAAUGCGUAGAUAUCGGAAGAACACCAGUGGCGAAAGCGG
rnacentral:rRNA from 1 species